UGGGAAUAUUGGACAAUGGGCGCAAGCCUGAUCCAGCCAUGCCGCGUGAGUGACGAAGGCCUUAGGGUUGUAAAGCUCUUUUGGCGGGGACGAUAAUGACGGUACCCGCAGAAUAAGCCCCGGCUAACUUCGUGCCAGCAGCCGCGGUAAUACGAAGGGGGCUAGCGUUGUUCGGAAUCACUGGGCGUAAAGCGCACGUAGGCGGAUUUGUAAGUCAGGGGUGAAAUCCCGGGGCUCAACCUCGGAACUGCCUUUGAUACUGCAAGUCUCGAGUUCGGGAGAGGUGAGUGGAAUUCCUAGUGUAGAGGUGAAAUUCGUAGAUAUUAGGAAGAACACCAGUGGCGAAGGCGGCUCACUGGCCCGAUACUGACGCUGAGGUGCGAAAGCGUGGGGAGCAAACAGGAUUAGAUACCCCCGUAGUCCCUGAGCGGGCUGGCAAGGCGCAU
rnacentral:rRNA from 1 species